rnacentral:rRNA from 1 species
AACGAACGCUGGCGGCAUGCCUAACACAUGCAAGUCGAACGAGACCUUCGGGUCUAGUGGCGCACGGGUGCGUAACGCGUGGGAACCUGCCCUUAGGUUCGGAAUAACUCCCCGAAAGGGGUGCUAAUACCGGAUAAUGUCUUCGGACCAAAGAUUUAUCGCCUUUGGAUGGGCACGAGUUGGAUUAGAUAGUUGGUAGGGUAAAAGCCUACCAAGGCGCCGAUCCAUAGCUGGUCUGAGAGGAUGAUCAGCCACACUGGGACGGAGACACGGCCCAGACUCCUACGGGAGGCAGCAGUGGGGAAUAGUGGACAAUGGGCGAAAGCAUGAUCCAGCAAUGACGCGUGAGUGAUGAAGGCCUUAGGGUUGUAAAGCUCUUUUACCCGGGAUGAUAAUGACAGUACCGGGAGAAUAAGCUCCGGCUAACUACGUG